rnacentral:rRNA from 1 species
CCUACGGGAGGCAGCAGUAGGGAAUCUUCCACAAUGGGCGCAAGCCUGAUGGAGCAACGCCGCGUGGGUGAAGAAGGGUUUCGGAUCGUAAAACUCUGUUGUUGGAGACGAAAGUGCGUGAGAGUAACUGUUCACGCAGCGACGGUAUCCAACCAGAAAGUCACGGCUAACUACGUGCCAGCAGCCGCGGUAAUACGUAGGUGGCAAGCGUUAUCCGGAUUUAUUGGGCGUAAAGGGAACGCAGGCGGUUGCUUAGGUCUGAUGUGAAAGCCUUCGGCUUAACCGGAGUAGUGCAUUGGAAACUGGGCGACUUGAGUGCAGAAGAGGAGAGUGGAACUCCAUGUGUAGCGGUGGAAUGCGUAGAUAUAUGGAAGAACACCAGUGGCGAAGGCGGCUCUCUGGUCUGUAACUGACGCUGAGGUUCGAAAGCGUGGGUAGCAAACAGGAUUAGAUACCCGAGUAGUC